UACGUAGGGAGCAAGCGUUGUCCGGAUUUACUGGGUGUAAAGGGUGCGUAGGCGGCUUUGCAAGUCAGAAGUGAAAUCCAUGGGCUUAACCCAUGAACUGCUUUUGAAACUGCAAGGCUUGAGUGAAGUGGAGGCAGGCGGAAUUCCCGGUGUAGCGGUGAAAUGCGUAGAGAUCGGGAGGAACACCAGUGGCGAAGGCGGCCUGCUGGGCUUUAACUGACGCUGAGGCACGAAAGCAUGGGUAGCAAACAGG
rnacentral:rRNA from 1 species